GACGAACGCUGGCGGCAUGCUUAACACAUGCAAGUCGAACGGAAAGGCCCUGCUUUUGUUGGGUGCUCGAGUGGCGGACGGGUGAGUAACACGUGAGUAACCUGCCCUUGACUUUGGGAUAACUUCAGGAAACUGGGGCUAAUACCGGAUAGGAGCUCCUGCUGCAUGGUGGGGGUUGGAAAGUUUCGGCGGUUGGGGAUGGACUCGCGGCUUAUCAGCUUGUUGGUGGGGUAGUGGCUUACCAAGGCUUUGACGGGUAGCCGGCCUGAGAGGGUGACCGGCCACAUUGGGACUGAGAUACGGCCCAGACUCCUACGGGAGGCAGCAGUGGGGAAUAUUGCACAAUGGGCGGAAGCCUGAUGCAGCAACGCCGCGUGCGGGAUGACGGCCUUCGGGUUGUAAACCGCUUUCGCCUGUGACGAAGCGUGAGUGACGGUAAUGGGUAAAGAAGCACCGGCUAACUACGUG
rnacentral:rRNA from 1 species